CGGCUUGUUUGCAAUGGUGGUGGCGGUCAGCGUGGAUCCAGGCUAGCACUCUGUGACGCCGGACCUCACCCGGUACCUACAGAUGAAAUGGCCCCUGCUAGAUGUUCAACAAGGAGGUCUCCAAAGUAGACAAGCACUUAAAGACGCCAGGUCCCCGUCACCGGCACACAUCGUUGGGCCCUUCUGCUGGGAAUUCCCCGGACAGUCAGAUCUGAGCCUUCACCAAUUUCAUUUGGUGAGAGACCUUUGAAUUCCAAAAAUAUCUUGUUGGAUUUUUUUGGCUGAUUCUACACGCAAAUUAACAAACUGAUAAUUGAUGAUUUUUAAACAAAAAUAACCUCCAUUCUGGUGAUGAUGAUGAUGAUGAUGAUUGUGUUGAUGAUAAUGCUGAUAAUAAUCAUGCUGUAAUGUGCUUUGUGCUAUGAUCCAGUGCUGCUGCUUUGUUGCUGGUGUGCUUCCUAAUGUCUGAAAUCAGGUGACGGGAUGUUUGUCGCGGAGGGAUGUUAUAUUUACAUUUGCAAGAGCUGACUUCAAAAUUGUGAACACCCGCUGGGGGAGUCAGGGUGUUUGCUUGCGUCCUCCUUGUGCGGCUGUUAACUCACUCCUUUGUGUGUCGGAUUUCUAUUUGCCUACUUGAUCUGCCAUGUGACCAACCGGCCUCUGUUUCUCUGGAUGGUCGGUCCGCGUGUCAUAAUGCCGACAUCAGACCAUGUGUGUUUGGAUCGAGUUAACCUGCAAAGUACAAAAGCAAAGCCAGUCUAGAUGUCUUCCAAGAGGACUUCAAACCGGGCUUCAAAAGGGGGCGGCCCGUGAUCGACUCGUUGCUGUUUGCACACUCUGCAGGGCGUUUGUGGCCGGUACAUAAGUCAAAACAGAAAAGAAGGAUAAAUCCCGCCCGAAACAUCUAUUUACCUGUUUAGGGUUUUUUUUUUGUCGAAGAGGAUAUGAAAGAAAAACAAGUAACAGCAACAAAAAAAAACACCCAAAUGCUUCUGUCAACACGCUGCCGGCUCUCCUUCUUUUAUACAAGCGCCUUUGCAAGAACUUGUUUGACGAGGUCUGGCACGAUCACUGCUGGGUGUGCCGGUCUUUCUGCGUGUGUGUGUCUGACAAGCACACCUUUGUCUCCGCCGGCCCGCGUGCCGCCGCCGUCACCGCCGCCGCCGCUGCUGCUGAGAGAGAGAGAGAGAGAGAGAGAGAGAGAGAGUAAUAAAACUUUCACAACGAUCCGGACACAGUCGGUUCCUGGGUUCAAGGUCCAGGAAGCGUUGUUGACAAAUAAUCCCAUUUUACGAUGGACCACUCCUAACGGGGCCGACGCGACCUCCGGGCCCAGCAGCGGGCCACGGGCGCUACUGUACUGACGCCGGGGGCCGUUUCACAGGGGAACUUGUUUUGACAGGACUCCAGGUGUCUCAUUGUUGGGCCUCGCAUGGUUCAACAGAUUUACCAAUUAGCACUGGGA